rnacentral:rRNA from 1 species
AUGAACGCUAGCGACAGGCCUAACACAUGCAAGUCAGGGGCAGCACAAGGAGCAAUCUGAGGUGGCGACCGGCGCACGGGUGAGUAACACGUAUGCAACCUGCCUGUAAGCGGGGAAUAACCCGUUGAAAGACGGACUAAUACCGCAUAAUACUAAAUUACUGCAUGGUAAUUUAUUUAAACAUUUAUGGCUUACAGAUGGGCAUGCGCAUGAUUAGCUAGUUGGAGAGGUAACGGCUCCCCAAGGCAACGAUCAUUAGGGGUUCUGAGAGGAAGGUCCCCCCACACUGGUACUGAGACACGGACCAGACUCCUACGGGAGGCAGCAGUGAGGAAUAUUGGUCAAUGGACGAGAGUCUGAACCAGCCAAGCCGCGUGCAGGAAGAAUGUCCUAUGGAUUGUAAACUGCUUUUGCAGGGGAAUAAAGUGCAUCACGUGUGAUGUUUUGUAUGUACUCUGCGAAUAAGGAUCGGCUAACUCCGUGCCAGCCGCGGC